AAAUCUUUAAUGUGUACAAUCACCUGAAAUAUCAUCCAUUACUUGAGUUCUGUGAACCUGCUUUUCCUAUCCUUUCAGUAUCGGACACAAGGCAGAUAUUAGCCUUGAAUGGAUUGACAGUCCAAUGAAGUGAACAUUCAGGCAAAUGUAGUCAUUCCAGCCUAAUUAAGACUCUCCAGUUAUCCUAACACAGAAAUCUUUGGGAUGUUGAAUGUAUUUAAAAUAGCAGAAAAAGGACAAUAUCAGACCAAGGUUCAAGUUUGAACCUUGAACUAUUAGACACCAAUGAAGAUCACUUAAACUCCGCACAGACAGUGACUGGACCUAGAAUCAAACCCACACCCCUAGCACUCUAAGGUAGCAGAGUUAACCAAAGUUUCAGAAGAACUGGUCCAUGAAAAGCCCACAGUGUGAAAUUAACUUUUUCCUAUGUGAUUCUUAAGAAGGCAAAGCUACCGCAUGAAUGAAUUAAGUUUUCAGUGAUGUGCUGGUGCUUUAACUAAGGUCUCUCCUGUCAACUCUUUUAAUCGAAACACUGAGAAACAGACGUCAAGGACAUGACGUGAAGCGAGCAAAGUAGAGCCUGUCCUGGCAGCAUCAGGUGCAAAGCAGAAACCGUCCUAGAUGUGACACUAGUGCAACAAGUGGUACGUUUGUACACAUAUGGAUACUUAUUAAGGUAAUAUGCAUUUCUUAGGGGUCAUGGAAAAAUAAAAAUAAGGUAUAGACAAAGAGAUUGUGCAGACUGUACAAAGAAAGUUAGGAAAUAAACCCAGGCUUCUAGAACCGAGAGGAAGCAAUGCUACCAUGCACCUCAAUUUUUAUCUAUCUGUCCUGUUCAUUCAUUUUCUGAGUCUGCUUUUUCCAUUUGUAAAGUCAGCUUGAGGGAAUAACUUUACCAGUACCAUCAAGUGUAAGAUGGUGGGAUGUCAGUUCAGAAUGUUAAACAAAGAACACACUCAAACUUUGUUUGGCCAGUUUAACCUAACAUGCACUCUGUUGCAGCAAGGGAGGUCACUAAAUAAUCAGGAAAAAUGAGAAAACGAGUGGGUUUUGAAUCAAAUCCAUGUUUUAGUAAACAGCAGUGCUAAUGACUGUGCUACCAAUUAAUCUUUAUAUGAUCUUUUGAAUGGAUGAGAUUUAUU